GAGUUUGGAUCCUGGCUCAGAACGAACGCUGGCGGCAGGCUUAACACAUGCAAGUCGAGCGCCCCGCAAGGGGAGCGGCAGACGGGUGAGUAACGCGUGGGAACGUACCCUUUACUACGGAAUAACGCAGGGAAACUUGUGCUAAUACCGUAUGUGCCCUUCGGGGGAAAGAUUUAUCGGUAAAGGAUCGGCCCGCGUUGGAUUAGCUAGUUGGUGGGGUAAAGGCCUACCAAGGCGACGAUCCAUAGCUGGUCUGAGAGGAUGAUCAGCCACAUUGGGACUGAGACACGGCCCAAACUCCUACGGGAGGCAGCAGUGGGGAAUAUUGGACAAUGGGCGCAAGCCUGAUCCAGCCAUGCCGCGUGAGUGAUGAAGGCCCUAGGGUUGUAAAGCUCUUUCACCGGAGAAGAUAAUGACGGUAUCCGGA
rnacentral:rRNA from 1 species